rnacentral:rRNA from 1 species
CCUCGGGAAGGCAGCAGUGGGGAAUAUUGCGCAAUGGGCGAAAGCCUGACGGAGCAAUACCGCGUGAGGGAAGACUGCCCAUGGGUUGUAAACCUCUUUUUUCAGGGAGGAAUAAAAUGACGUGUACCUGGAGAAUAAGCAUCGGCUAACUCCGUGCCAGCAGCCGCGGUAAGACGGAGGAUGCAAGUGUUAUCCGGAAUCACUGGGCGUAAAGCGUCUGUAGGUGGUUUAAUAAGUCAACUGUUAAAUCUUGAGGCUCAACUUCAAAAUCGCAGUCGAAACUAUUAGACUAGAGUAUAGUAGAGGUAAAGGGAAUUUCCAGUGGAGCGGUGAAAUGCGUAGAUAUUGGAAAGAACACCGAUGGCGAAAGCACUUUACUGGGCUAUUACUGACACUCAGAGACGAAAGCUAGGGUAGCAAAUGGGAUUAGAUACCCCAGUAGUCCUAGCCGUAAACUAUGGAUACUAGAUGUUGAACAGAUCGACCUGUGCAGUAUCAAAGCUAACGCGUUAAGUAUCCCGCCUGGGAAGUAUGCUCGCAAGAGUGAAACUCAAAUGAAUUGACGG